CUACGUGCCAGCAGCCGCGGUAAUACGUAGGGUGCGAGCGUUAAUCGGAAUUACUGGGCGUAAAGCGAGCGCAGACGGUUACUUAAGCAGGAUGUGAAAUCCCCGGGCUCAACCUGGGAACUGCGUUCUGAACUGGGUGACUAGAGUGUGUCAGAGGGAGGUAGAAUUCCACGUGUAGCGGUGAAAUGCGUAGAGAUGUGGAGGAAUACCGAAGGCGAAGGCAGCCCCUUGGGAAUGUACUGACGCUCAUGUGCGAAAGCGUGGGGAGCAAACAGGAUUAGAUACCCUGGUAGUCCACGCUGUAAACGAUGUCGAUUUGGGGGUUGAACUUUAGGUUUGGCGCCCGUAGCUAACGUGAUAAAUCGACCGCCUGGGGAGUACGGCCGCAAGGUUAAAACUCAAAUGAAUUGACGGGGGCCCGCACAAGCGGUGGAGCAUGUGGUUUAAUUCGAUGCAACGCGAAGAACCUUACCUACUCUUGACAUCCAGAGAACAUUC
rnacentral:rRNA from 1 species